UGCGGUUCGGUGGCUGGACUUGCGUCCCCCACCUCCUCUGUCGCGCGUGCCCUGCUCCCCAGUGAGGGCGUCCCUGGGAUGGGAUCUGGGCGCCCGGCGCAGCGCGGCUGACAACAGCCGAGCGGUUCCGGUGCGCUGGCACGUGGCUCGGGCCUGCCCCCCCGGCCUGGCCGCCUCCCGGCGCGUUCCCCGGUGCAGGUGCCUGGCCCGUGCCCCGCCAUCUCCGCCCGGCGCCGCCUGUGCUGAAGGAGCCACGCCCCGGGCUCCGGAGCCUGCCUCUGCAAAGUCCAGGCCCGCGGCGCGCAGGUCAGGGCCGCUGCUCCGGGCGGACGGGGACGCGCGGUCACAGGCAACUCCUGUCCUAAGGGCAAGUGAGACAGGAUCAGGGCUGGUAUGAAGGCAUCUCCAUUAGCAGGGAACCAGACACCUUCCAUCUGACUGCUCUGCUAUCCUUCGCAUGCUGCCUCAUGGUCCAAAGUGGCUGCUGAGCACCAGCCUUCGUGUCUGCAUUCUAGCCAGCAGGAACGAGAAAAGGAAAGGGGGCUGGCCUAAAGGCAAGAAGAGAAACCCCCCGAGGGACCUUGCUGUUCCGUGUUCCUACGACAGGGUACAUGAUAUUCCUGAAUGAGCAGAGAAGUCAGCUGAGGGCCACACACCCCGAUCUGCCUUUCACAGAAAUCAUGAAGAUGCUGGCUGUUCAGUGGGCCCAGCUGUCUCAGGAUAAAAAGGGGGAGAUGAACUCAAUGACCUCUACUGCGGGACCUCCAGGCAGCUCUUCAGCUCCCUGUGCAACAAGAAGGAACCUGCUGCAAAGGCAGCACCUGCAGCGCCUCUCAGGUAACCAGCCUGGGCCAGGCGGCUCAGCCGCAAACGCUGGCCUUGACUCCACCUGCGCCAGAGGUCACCAACAGGCGGCCCACGUGACACCUCUUGUUAUUAAAAUGCAAUUUUAAGACAGACUCUAGUCAAGCCCACUUACCACCAGGUGGGUGUUUAGGACAGGGUAGGUCUUCCACUAUAUCUGUUUUCCUCUUAGUUCGCCAGGCCCGCCUGCUCUGGGCCACGCAGGACACGGACGUCAGCUUCUCCUGGAGCGCUCGCUCACUUUAUUCCAUCUCUACGAGCUCCUCAAGUAUCCCAGAGCAUCCCCAGGCCUGUGGCCACCUCGGGUCUGGAUGCCGCAUUCUCUGACCUGUGGCACAUUCUGGGUGCCCAUGAUUAUGAUGAGGUUCUGUGCCCAUGUGGCCUCAGGGCUCUUGAGACCACCCUUCAACCAGGUCUUUGCUCACCUGUCUCCUGCCCAGGGACGCCACCCAGGUCACCGGUGCAAACCUCCAGCCCCUGCCCGUUUCUCUCCAUGAGUGCAUUGCCACCUCGCAGCCUCUUCCACUUGCUCAUUCCUGGUGUUAUUGCCUGUCUCCCACUGGAAGAGAAGGCCCUCAAGUUCAGCAACUGUUUUGCCUGUUUUGUUCACUGUGGUGAACCCCGGGCCUAGAACCACGCCUGGCACUCCCAGUAGGUGCUCAAUAAGUAUCCAAUGAGUGGACAAAUGAAUGGAUGUGUUCAACAAAUGACCCUAGAGCGUGUAUUCCUUCCAGGGACAGAGCGAGGUACUGGGGACACAGGAAGGACGAGGCAGAGCUCCGCGCUGACGAAACCAAGGGCCAAGCGUGCGAGUGAAUACGAACAUCCUGGCGUUAAAACGUCUUGCAUUCUAGUGAAAUGAGACCCAUUGGAC
rnacentral:lncRNA from 1 species